rnacentral:rRNA from 1 species
CCUACGGGGGGCUGCAGUGGGGAAUAUUGCACAAUGGGCGCAAGCCUGAUGCAGCCAUGCCGCGUGUAUGAAGAAGGCCUUCGGGUUGUAAAGUACUUUCAGCGGGGAGGAAGGCGAUAAGGUCAAUAACCUUGUCGAUUGACGUUACCCGCAGAAGAAGCACCGGCUAACUCCGUGCCAGCAGCCGCGGGAAUACGGAGGGUGCAAGCGUUAACCGGAAUUACUGGGCGUAAAGCGCACGCAGGCGGUCUGUCAAGUCGGAUUAGAAAUCCCCGAGCUCAACCUGGGAACUGCAUUCGAAACUAGCAGGCUAGAGUCUUGUAGAGGGUGGUAGAAUUCCAGGUGUAGCGGUGAAAUGCGUAGAGAUCUGGAUGAAUACCGGUGGCGAAGGCGGCCCCCUAGACAAAGACUGACGCUCAAGUGCGAAAGCGUGGGGAGCAAACAGGAUUAGAUACCCGUGUAGUC